UAUGAUUUACAAGGAGUUAAUCUGUGCCGUUGACAUUCAUCGCAAAGCUACAGAGUUUGCUAAAUUUCUUAUCAGUAGCAUGAAUCGAUCACUUUUCUUUGUCAUAAUGAUUUAUGUGCUUUGCGUGAGUUUCAAUCUUUAUGGAAUAUUUCACAAUGAACCAGCUGUGCAGGAAAUAGAACAAACAUUAGUACAUCUUAUUAUUAUAGGUUUCGUUUUUGCAUACAUGUUCAUAGCCAACUAUGUCGGACAGGAAAUUAUGGAUUAUAAUAAUCAUGUAUUCUUACCGUGUACAAUGCUCCAUGGUACCUAGCACCGUUGCAGAUACAGAAGUUGAUCUUGAUCUUAUUACAAAGAAGUAACAAGGCUUUCACGUUGAGCAUCGUUGGAUUAUUCACAAUAUCUUUAGAAUGCUUUGCUUCGCUAGCAAGUACAUCAAUAUCUUACUUCACUCUCAUGCUAUCUUUGUAAUAAUUACGAAAAUAUAACAUCCAAUAAUAUCAUAUAUUAGAAUAGAUAGAUAUAAAACUGAGUGAAAAUGCCGACUUUCUCUUCUACUAUUAAACAGCUGGAAAGUUGGGGUAAUAAUAAGGUGAUAAUAUUUUUCUUUCAAAAUCGUAAAUCGUGUUAUGUGAAGUAAGCAAAGCAAAACAUUAGUUGGCUCAUAGAUACAAUCAAUUAUGCUAACAAAACCAGGCCUGAAGUGUUUCUCAUAUGUCAACGUAUCGAAUGUAUCAUUCGAAGAAAGUUUGUUGAUUUUAA
rnacentral:lncRNA from 1 species